rnacentral:rRNA from 1 species
UGGGGAAUAUUGGACAAUGGGCGAAAGCCUGAUCCAGCCAUGCCGCGUGAGUGAUGAAGGCCUUAGGGUUGUAAAGCUCUUUUGUCAGGGAAGAUAAUGACGGUACCUGAAGAAUAAGCACCGGCUAACUUCGUGCCAGCAGCCGCGGUAAUACGAAGGGUGCUAGCGUUGUUCGGAAUCACUGGGCGUAAAGCGCGCGUAGGCGGCGUAACAAGUCAGAGGUGAAAGCCUGGAGCUCAACUCCAGAAUUGCCUUUGAAACUGUUAUGCUUGAGUAUUGGAGGGGAUAGCGGAAUUGCUAAUGUAGAGGUGAAAUUCGUAGAUAUUAGCAGGAACACCGGUGGCGAAGGCGGCUAUCUGGACAAUUACUGACGCUGAGGCGCGAAAGCGUGGGGAUCAAACA